GUAUCCUGGCUCAGAUUGAACGCUGGCGGCAUGCCUUACACAUGCAAGUCGAACGGUAACAGGUCUUCGGAUGCUGACGAGUGGCGAACGGGUGAGUAAUACAUCGGAACGUGCCCGAUCGUGGGGGAUAACGAAGCGAAAGCUUUGCUAAUACCGCAUACGAUCUACGGAUGAAAGCAGGGGACCGCAAGGCCUUGCGCGGACGGAGCGGCCGAUGGCAGAUUAGGUAGUUGGUGGGAUAAAAGCUCACCAAGCCGACGAUCUGUAGCUGGUCUGAGAGGACGACCAGCCACACUGGGACUGAGACACGGCCCAGACUCCUACGGGAGGCAGCAGUGGGGAAUUUUGGACAAUGGGCGCAAGCCUGAUCCAGCAAUGCCGCGUGCAGGAUGAAGGCCUUCGGGUUGUAAACUGCUUUUGUACGGAGCGAAAAGGUUCUGGUUAAUACCUGGGGCCCAUGACGGUACCGUAAGAAUAAGCACCGGCUAACUACGUG
rnacentral:rRNA from 1 species